rnacentral:rRNA from 1 species
UAACACGUAGUCAACAUGCCCAGGGGACGUGGAUAACCUCGGGAAACUGAGGAUAAACCGCGAUAAGUCACUGCUUCUGGAAUGGGCAAUGACUUAAAUCUAUAUGGCCCCUGGAUUGGACUGCGGCCGAUCAGGCUGUUGGUGAGGUAAUGGCCCACCAAACCUGUAACCGGUACGGGCUCUGAGAGGAGGAGCCCGGAGAUGGGCACUGAGACAAGGGCCCAGGCCCUAUGGGGCGCAGCAGGCGCGAAACCUCUGCAAUAGGCGAAAGCCUGACAGGGUUACUCUGAGUGAUUUCCGUUAAGGAGAUCUUUUGGCACCUCUAAAAAUGGUGCAGAAUAAGGGGUGGGCAAGUCUGGUGUCAGCCGCCGCGGUAAUACCAGCACCCCGAGUGGUCGGGACGUUUAUUGGGCCUAAAGCAUCCGUAGCCGGUUCUGCAAGUCUUCCGUUAAAUCCACCUGCUUAACAGAUGGGCUGCGGAAGAUACUAUAGAGCUAGGAGGCGGGAGAGGCAAGCGGUACUCGAUGGGUAGGGGUAAAAUCCGUUGAUCCAUUGAAGACCACCAGUGGCGAAGGCGGCUUGCCAGAACGCGCUCGACGGUGAGGGAUGAAAGCUGGGGGAGCAAACCGGAUUAGAUACCCGGGUAGUCCCAGCUGUAAACGAUGCAGACUCGGUGAUGAAUUGGCUUUAUGCCAAUUCAGUGCCGCAGGGAAGCCGUUAAGUUUGCCGCCUGGGGAGUACGGUCGCAAGACUGAAACUUAAAGGAAUUGGCGGGGGAGCACCACAAGGGGUGAAGCCUGCGGUUCAAUUGG